rnacentral:lncRNA from 1 species
CCGAAUUUUGCUCUCCUCCAUAGCUGGGGUUUCUUCAAUUUCCAAGCUCCAUAGUAAGUGAUUCCAAGCCCCGUUUUUAAUGAUCUUUACGUUUUUGGAGUCCCGGUAACUUGAUUAAGCUUAUUCUAGCAAUAAUUCAACCUAGGGUUCAUAUUUGGAAAAAUACCCAUAGAUGAAAUUUGUGUAUUUUGGUGUUUUAUUAUAGAAUAUGAGGUUUUAAAUUAUGUUAGACAACUUGUGCUACUCGGUUUUAAGUGAAAACGAGUAAAAUGGCUUAAUUGGUAAAAAUACCUAAUAGUCAUAAGUACAUGUUAGAGUGUGAAUUUGAUGUUGCCGUAGAAGGGAAAAAUGAUCAGCAUGUCAUAAAACAUAAGAAAAUAGGAUGAAGUUUAAUUUACGAGCCUUGGGGCAAAAGUGCAAAUAUGUGAAAGUUUAGAGGCAAAAAUGUAAUUUUGCCAAAGUUUGAGUCACGGACUGUUUUAAUACAUGUGAGUAUUAAAAAAGCUAAAUUUUUUAUAUAGAUCAAGAAGAACAAAAUCUGGAGUUAGACCGAGGAAAGAAGAAGAUAGUGGACUAAAUCGAUAUAGUUGAUCGUAUUUUGUUUUGAGGUAAGUUUGCGGUAAAUAAAUGUAAUAUUCUAUUAUUUUAUGUUAAUUUUGUUAAUUUCCAGCAUGUGUAUAUUUAUUUUAUGAAAUUAUUCAAAGAAGACUCAAGCAUGAAUUGACGGAGAAGUAAUUUCAGAAAGUCCCGGUUGAACCUUAGGAAUGUGUAGGAUACAAAUGUCAUGACAUUAGGGUUUAAGGAUACCAUGUAAGACCAUGCUAAGGCAUGGCAAUUGGUAAGGUUUAUAAGGCAAGGAAAUCAUGUAAGACCAUGUCAAGACACGGCAUUGAUAAGUUACUAUAAGGCAAAGGUUCCAUGUAAGACCAUGCCAAGGCAUAGCAUUGGUGAGUUCAUAAGGCAAGGAUACCAUGUAAGACCAUGUCAAGACAUGGCAAUGGUAAGUUUCAAAAGGAUACCACGUAAGACCAUGACAAGUCAUGGCAAUGGUAAGGUACCCGUGUAUCCUUAGUAUUCCAAGUGGUUCAACAGGAAAAUUUAAAGAGAAUAUCGAGGUAAGGUAAGGUAAGACAAGUUCAUGCUAGAAGAGCAAAGGUAAGUACAUAAUGUUCAUGUAUGCUUGAUAAGGAAAAAGGUAAGUAAAAUGUAUUAAUAAAUUUGAUUAAGUAAGUAAGUAUUUAAGUAAGUGAGUAAGUGAAGAAGUUUAAAAUAUGUCUAUGACAAUUAAUGAAGCUGCAUUAAGUAGUAAGAUAAUUCUUAUGAAUGUUGUUAUUUAUUUGCAUGCAAACUUACUAAGCUUAAUGCUUACCCCCUUUAUUUUCCUUCUUUUUAUAGUUUUGUCAAGCUAACUCGGGGAUCGUAAAGUACGUCGGAGGUCCAGGCACACUAUCACAAGGGUAAUUUUGGUAUAGCUAGACGUUUCAUUUUGAGUAUGGCAUGUAUAGUAUCGUAGCCAUUUUGUGUGUAUGAUCUUAUGAUAUGGCUGAUGAAUGGUAUGUAAAUGUUUGAUAAUUAUUAGCUGUUGGAAUGGCUAAUCAAGGACAUGUUUGGUGUUAUGUAUGUGUAAAUGCUAGUUAUUCCAUGGAAAUCAUGAAAAAGGUGAAAUUAGCACAAAACAGAAUCAGACAGUAGCAGUGACGUGAAUUUGAAAAAUCACUAAAAAUAGUAGAACUAGAAUUAAAUGAUGAAUAAGUUAUGAAAUUAAAUAUUAUUAUGUCAAUUUUCAAAUGGAAGAGACAAAAUAGGUAAAUGAGUUAUACUUUAUGAGAUAUUUAAGUUUUUGUGAAACAGGGCCAGAGCGAUUUCUGGAUCCCCUUUUCUGAAUUCGGAAAUUAACCAUAAAUUGUAAAAAAAUUAUUAAGAGUCAUACCUUACAUGCAUGGAUUCCUUAUUGAGUCUAUUUUUAAGCGAAACAAACGGUAUGGUCAUUGAAAUUAUGUACAUGGAGAAAUUUGAUUCGUAGUGCACAGGGGUCAGAGUAGUCAUACCUUGAAACAGGGGAGACUUUAACUAAUAAACUGUACUAAAUGGCUCAACCAAAAAUUCUGGAAAUUUUAUGGAAGAAAUAUAAAUGAGUCUAGUUUCAGAGUAAAUUUACGGAAUUGGAUUUCGUAUUUUGGAACUCAAUAUAUGAAUUUUUAAGCGACUAGGAC